UCGGGUUGAAGCUCUGGAACGAACAAUAUUAUCAACCAGACCUGACAUUAUGAAAAGAGAAUUGGAUUCCCGCUCUUUCCCAAAUUGAGUUGGAAACCUAAUUUCACAAAACCCCCGAAAUCCCCCUUCGAGACCAAAGUAGUUGAAAAUCUCCCUAAUCCCUGCCGAAAUCACCAAAAUCGUUGAAAUCCCCAAAAUCACUGUGAAAUCUCCUGCAAUCGGAGCCCUAAAUUCCGAAAUUCUUCGAAAUCUCCCUUCAAACCAAACCAAUUGAAACCCUAAUCCUCUAAUCAAUGCCGUAAUUGCCAAAAUCGGUGAAAUCCCCAAAAUCCCUUCGAAAUCCCAUGCAACUGGAACCCUAAAUUCCCAAAUUCCACGAAAUCCCCCUUAUGUCCAAACCAAUUGAAACCCUAACCCCCCUAAUCCCAGCCGAAAUCGCCAAAAUCGCUCAAAUACCCAAAAUCCCAUGCAACCGAAGCCCUAAAUUCCCAAAUUCCCUUAAAUCCCUACCAAUAUCCCCCUUCUGACCAAAACAAUUGAAACCCUAAUCCCCCUAAUCCCAGUCGAAAUCGCUAAAAUCGCUCUUCGAAAAUCCCCUACAAUGCGGCUAUAUUAAAACCCUAAUCGCGUUCUGCAGCCAAAAUCGCUCUUCGAAAUCCCCAGGAUGUUGCUCGAUUACUGGCAUGGAAGUUGUCAUUCGACGUGGGAUAGGACAGGGCUUUGUAGCUGUGGAUUGCGAGUAUAAUAGAAGAUAUCACGCACAACAAACAACCCAGGUAGAAGAUUUGUUGGUUCCCAAGGUACCGGGAGAAUGGAGGGUGUGACUAUUUUAGGUGAAUUGACCAUCGAUUUGAAGCUUCUGAGCAUAAAUCGAUUGUUGAAGACGAGGUUUCAUCGACUGAAUGGGAAAUGAAGUAUAUGAAAUUAAAGAUUAAGGAAUUGGAGGAGGAGUUAAAGUACAGACAGAGCCGUGGUGAUGUUAGGGUUGUCGUUUUUUGCAAUUUGCAUCUCAAUUGUGAUUGGAAUUUUGUUUGGAAUGUGGUUGGGGUGUAAAAUCUGUAUUGGCAAGUAGGAGGAUGCCCCGGAGAUGGUUGUUACAUUUUUCUGGUCUGUAGGCUUGCACUUUGUGCUCCCUUAUUGCUUAUAAUACGAGGUGUGUUUAGAUA